CCUACGGGUGGCUGCAGUGGGGAAUAUUGGACAAUGGGGGAAACCCUGAUCCAGCCAUGCCGCGUGUGUGAAGAAGGCCCUCGGGUUGUAAAGCACUUUCAGUGAGGAAGAACGCCUGGUGGUUAAUACCCAUCAGGAAAGACAUCACUCACAGAAAAAGCACCGGCUAACUCCGUGCCAGCAGCCGCGGUAAUACGGAGGGUGCGAGCGUUAAUCGGAAUUACUGGGCGUAAAGCGCGCGUAGGUGGCUUGAUAAGCCGGUUGUGAAAGCCCCGGGCUCAACCUGGGAACGGCAUCCGGAACUGUGCGGCUAGAGUGCAGAAGAGGAAGGUAGAAUUCCCGGUGUAGCGGUGAAAUGCGUAGAGAUCGGGAGGAAUACCAGUGGCGAAGGCGGCCUUCUGGACUGACACUGACGCUGAGGUGCGAAAGCGUGGGUAGCAAACAGGAUUAGAUACCCCGGUAGUC
rnacentral:rRNA from 1 species